rnacentral:rRNA from 1 species
AUGGAGCCGACCUUGAAAUACCACCCUUUAAUGUUUGAUGUUCUAACGUUGACCCGUAAUCCGGGUUGCGGACAGUGUCUGGUGGGUAGUUUGACUGGGGCGGUCUCCUCCUAAAGAGUAACGGAGGAGCACGAAGGUUGGCUAAUCCUGGUCGGACAUCAGGAGGUUAGUGCAAUGGCAUAAGCCAGCUUGACUGCGAGCGUGACGGCGCGAGCAGGUGCGAAAGCAGGUCAUAGUGAUCCGGUGGUUCUGAAUGGAAGGGCCAUCGCUCAACGGAUAAAAGGUACUCCGGGGAUAACAGGCUGAUACCGCCCAAGAGUUCAUAUCGACGGCGGUGUUUGGCACCUCGAUGUCGGCUCAUCACAUCCUGGGGCUGAAGUAGGUCCCAAGGGUAUGGCUGUUCGCCAUUUAAAGUGGUACGCGAGCUGGGUUUAGAACGUCGUGAGACAGUUCGGUCCCUAUCUGCCGUGGGCGCUGGAGAACUGAGGGGGGCUGCUCCUAGUACGAGAGGACCGGAGUGGACGCAUCACUGGUGUUCGGGUUGUCAUGCCAAUGGCACUGCCCGGUAGCUAAAUGCGGAAGAGAUAAGUGCUGAAAGCAUCUAAGCACGAAACUUGCCCCGAGAUGAGUUCUCCCUGACCCUUUAAGGGUCCUGAAGGAACGUUGAAGA